GAGGGAACAGACCUUAGUGAGUGUCGGCGAGGACAAGGCCGUGCGUUCCUGAAGCCCCUCGGAGGUCACUUCCCUUGACCCUGCCAGAGCCAUCCAGACUCCUGGUGCCCACAGGAGAGAAGAUGAGCAAAGAGAAGAUCAGAGACACCUGACAACUCGCCCCAAGUUGCAAAGCUGGAAACAAAAUCCUUCCUGAGGACUUCAGGAAGAGUUUCCUGGGAAAGAAAUAUGUGCUGAAACCGAAGGGAAGAGCAGGAAUGAGCCAGACGAGAAUGAAGAGGUCACUCCAGCAGCAGCAGCGUGCGUGGAGCCUAUAGCCCGAAGAGCCAGGUCAGCAAGCCACAGCCAACGGACCAAUC